ACCAGAAAGGAAUGAAUGAAGAUAGUUACUAUGGAAACAGCAAUACCUCCGUGGAUGACAGGUGUUUCAUGACUGCUUUUUUACCUAACACAGCGUUGAGCUCGAUGGUGAUGCUUUUCUCAGACUGGACUGGCACGGUGAAAAACCACAGAUGGACAAACAGUUAUGACACAGACACAGUGGAGUAGUCCUGAUAGGAUGCAAGAUAUUCUGCCUGGCCCAUUUCCUCAUGGGACUGCACAUCUCUCUUCUCAGCAUCCUGGAGCAUCUUUCCAGAGGGGUGGAGAGACAGUGUUUGAUCGACAGAGGCUUCAGAGCAGAGUGGUACAAACAUCCAAGCUGACAAAGGAUGUCUGCCAGUUUAGACUCUUUGUAUUGUGGAAAAUAGGUAAUAGAUUAAAUAUUUUCCUGUUACCAGACAAAACUCUACUUCUCAGUAUGUGUGUGUAUUCUUGUACUU